rnacentral:rRNA from 1 species
CCUACGGGAGGCAGCAGUGGGGAAUAUUGCACAAUGGGCGAAAGCCUGAUGCAGCGACGCCGCGUGAGGGAUGACGGCCUUCAGGUUGUAAACCUCUUUCAGCAGGGAAGAAGCGAAAGUGACGGUACCUGCAGAAGAAGCGCCGGCUAACUACGUGCCAGCAGCCGCGGUAAUACAUAGGGCGCAAGCGUUGUCCGGAAUUAUUGGGCGUAAAGAGCUCGUAGGCGGCUUGUCACGUCGGGUGUGAAAGCCCGGGGCUUAACCCCGGGUCUGCAUUCGAUACGGGCUAGCUAGAGUGUGGUAGGGGAGAUCGGAAUUCCUGGUGUAGCGGUGAAAUGCGCAGAUAUCAGGAGGAACACCGGUGGCGAAGGCGGAUCUCUGGGCCAUUACUGACGCUGAGGAGCGAAAGCGUGGGGAGCGAACAGGAUUAGAUACCCUGGUAGUCCACGCCGUAAACGGUGGGAACUAGGUGUUGGCGACAUUCCACGUCGUCGGUGCCGCAGCUAACGCAUUAAGUUCCCCGCCUGGGGAGUACGGCCGCAAGGCUAAAACUCAAAGGAAAUUGACGG